UACGUAGGGUGCAAGCGUUAAUCGGAAUUACUGGGCGUAAAGCGUGCGCAGGCGGUUGUGCAAGACCGAUGUGAAAUCCCCGGGCUCAACCUGGGAAUGGCAUUGGUGACUGUACGGCUAGAGUGUGUCAGAGGGGGGUAGAAUUCCACGUGUAGCAGUGAAAUGCGUAGAGAUGUGGAGGAAUACCGAUGGCGAAGGCAGCCCCCUGGGAUAACACUGACGCUCAUGCACGAAAGCGUGGGAGCAAACAGG
rnacentral:rRNA from 1 species